GCGGGUAUCGUUUAGUGGCAGGACGUAACCUUCCCAAGGUUAAGAUACGGGUUCGAUUCCCGUUACCCGCUCCA
rnacentral:tRNA from 1 species